AUCCAGCUGACGAGUCCAAAAUAGAAAGAAGCGGGCUUCCUGGAU
rnacentral:hammerhead_ribozyme from 1 species